CAAUUUCAUCUGGCUCUCCUCGGUAGAAGUAUUUUUGAGAUAGAGAGCUAAGAUCAGCUAAUUUGUCAGCAUUAUAAAGCAGUAUCUUGUCCUCAUAGUUCUUGUCUCUCACUGAAACUUUCCAGCAGCGGCCGCUGACAUAUGAACUUCACCAAUGAAGAUGCCACCACCGCACGGCUAUUUCUUGACUGCCCUGCUGAGGGCUUAGAAGAAAUGGGGCCAGACAAUCAUGGAUUGGAACCUUUGAAGCCGUGAGCCAAGAUAAAACUCCCUACCUCAGAACCCUUGACAGCCAUGUGUCAGAGAAGCAGACCACCCGAAGCUUGGAACUGGCUUGGAUUUGAUCUCCAACUGUCUGCCAAGCUUCUGCAUGGCUCCCCAGACAAGCCUUAUGUUUGAGGCUCCUAGGACGACCUCUGGAUGGGAGGCAUUUUGUCACUGAUAUGCGAUCCCUGACAAGACAGGAGAAAAAGGCGAAAAGGACCAUGUAUCUCAGGGUUUCAGUCUAUCACAGUGGGGAACGGGCGUGAAGCGGGCCAAUAAAAUAUGGCUGGCAACCAAGGAACCAAUGCAGCAAGGUGAGCUCCCAAGGGUACCCUUUCUGUGGCUUCCUUUUUCCAACCAGGCCCAACCUCUUCUUUUCCUCAGCUUCCAAUAACACUGUCACACUAUAAAGCAAUUGGUGGAUUAGUCCAUUGAUUAACUCAAAACCUUCAGGAUCCCACCACUUGUCAAGGCCCACCCAUCAGCUAAUAACCAAGUUCCCUUCUAUUUGAACCACAGCCGUUGGUGAUAGACUCCAUCUUGGCUUUACUGGUUUCCGAAGGAAUCUUUGUUACAGCUUCUCCUGACGUCACUGGGCCUCCUCUAGGAACAGCUGCUGAACUGGUUCAAUGGAUCUGUGGUUGUGACAGAAGCAACGGAUGGAGAGAGAUGUUCAUUUUGGCUCGCAGUUCAGGAGUACAGUCUGUAAUUGUGGGUAGGUCACAGUGGCUGCGAUGGGUCAGUCUGUGGUGUGCAGGUGUGUGCAUAGGAGAUGGGAUCACGGGGAGUGUACGGGGUUUCCCAUAGUAGCAUCCAAACCUCCCUUCAGGAGGAUCCCAGGAUCUGAGGGAGUUGGAGGUAGAAGACUGACCAAGCCCAGUGGCAAGGCUUGUUACCAUUGGACCAGAAGCUCCUGCUUCUGCCUGGUCCCAGCAAAAGCAGAGAGGAGCCAGACCCUAGGGAUGAGCACUAAAGUUUCUUAACAAACACACCAGCAAGCAUUGGGUAGCCACUGAGAAAAUUUCCCAACUCCACUCAGGUGCUGACCUAGUAGAGCCAUUCUAACAUGUCCCCAGGGGAUUGAAUCAAUUACAUUUGUGUGCGUGUGCCCGUGUGUCUGCACAUGCAUGUGUAUGUGUAUGUGUUGUGGUGCAGUUCAGAGGACAAUUUACAGGAGUCUGUUCUCCUUUUCCGCCAGGCAGGGGUCAGACUCAGAGAACCAGGCUUGCUCCCUUACUGAGCCAUCUCACUGUCCCUAGGAAUUGAAUCCAGCAGAACCUGCUGAUACUUGGAGCUAAGCCAUCCACCUGGGAUGGCAGAGCAGGAAGAGGUGCGAUGGGGUAAGGUGGUAGCCAGGGCCCCAGGCUUUGGGCCCUGGAAGGUGACCCUCCAGCACAGCAGACACUCAUUCCCAAAUGUGUACCAGGUCCCUCUUUGCCAGCAAUCAUUAGGUUCAGAAAGCUCAGAGGGCCUGGUGCCCCCAACAAGUCAGCCGCCUCAGCCACCAUCUGCUCCUCAGAACUAGCAGAUCUCACAAGCAGCCUGUGGCUGAAACCAGUGCCAGAUUCUCCUGCCGUGGCUGUGGCUGUGGAGAGAGGCAGAGGGCGCUAACACGGGCCCUGGAUCAUGUUCUGGGGAGGUUGAUGCUGCCUGACCCUUUCCGGAAGGGCACAAGCAGUACUGGCAGAGCCCUCCCCACCUCUGGCUUGACCCUUGCUUAAUCUCAAACCUGGAGGUUGGUGUUCUAAUCCCACAGUGAUGCCCAGAGCUUGGGUAGAAAUGAUUGCAAGGUAAUAUGUUUUGCUUUCAGAGAGUAAAUUAAAACGAAGACUUCUGAUUUUAAGAAGCAAAACAUAAAACCUGAUUCCUAAAUAAACCCCCUUCCGUCCUGCCAUUAACACUGCUUCUUGUUUGUGAUAGGGGGCGGGCUCAACGGACCUGCCAAUCAACUACUGCUUUCAUUCCUGACAGACCUAGGGGAAGAGCAGAUCCCAUUUCUGUGCUAGCUAGAGAGCUAUGCAAUAGUGGCACAAGUCAGUGAAUACAAACUGUGCAGCCUCCUCCUCCCCCGUGCCUUUCCCAGCAGAGCCCAGUGCAUAACAAGUACUACACUAAUAAGUUCAUCAUGGGGUCAGUUCUGAACUGGGCUGACUCCUCGGCUCCCAGGCCUGGGAAAGCAAGAGAGACUUGUUCACUCACUGACCUCAGAUGAAAAUUUGAUAAACUGCUGAUGCCUUUGGUUAUUUAUGAGUUAUUACAUGCAUAUAAAUGAACAUAUUUUACUAGUUGUACAAAUUACAUUUUAUCGGUGUGAAACAUGCAUUUCAUUCCACAGGCUGCUGACCUGGCUAAAGAUGAAGUCUUUUUGAAUGCUAUUAGAGUUGGUGUUCGCGAGUACAUAUUUGACCCUUGAGGGUUCUCCUGAGAAUCCCAGGGUCUAUCACUGCAGACUGACCCAGCUCCAGUGAACAAACAGAAGUCUAGGGCAGGAAAGCCCCGCCCUCUCAAGCCCCGCCCU
rnacentral:sRNA from 1 species